GGGGGCGACCUGGUCUCGACGGGGGCAUGGAGGCCCUGAAACGCGUGCCGAGUGGGCACACCACACUCGUUAAUAAAAGUGAGCAAAAACCAAAAAAGCCAACGACAACGUUGAGCUUGCUCUGGCCGCCUAAAAAACGGUCAAGCACGGUCGCCUGAGCUUCUGCUCGUGAGCCCAGGGUCGACCGAACCAAUGCGAGCUGGCUUCUCCUUGCGGUUGGACGGAGAGAGGCGAGACAAAUCCAGCUAGGCCUUUUCGAAUUCCGUCCGUGGAAGUCGAGAGGGCGUCACUAAAUCGCGGACUACGCACGUAGGGCUUCAGAGCCAAAGGCUUUCGGACGUGGGUUCGAUUCCCACCGCCUCCACAG
rnacentral:tmRNA from 1 species